CAGCGAAAGACUAAAAUAAAUCAAAAUUAUUUUUUAAAAUCAGAGAAUCUCUAGAUCUAAGAUCCUAUUACAUGAUUAUUACAUAGCAUUAAAUCAAAAAUUAAAAUAUAUAAAUAUAGCAUGAACUACAUGUUGAUCAUAUCAACAUAUUUUUAUACUGCAUCUAAUGUAUGUAUUAAACAAUAGAUCAGAUCUAUUACCUUGCAAGUUAGAUGUUCUAACCUUGCUGAUCCAGGCUUGAGGAUGAUGUUGCAAGCCGCACAUGCAUCCGACCUCUAGGAGUCAUCCACACGAGCACACGAAUCUCGAUCAGAAGUCCUGCUUCAGGAAAUCAGCACAGUAUGCUAGUACUGCGCUGAUCUUUCUUUCAUGGC
rnacentral:lncRNA from 1 species